rnacentral:misc_RNA from 1 species
GUGGUGGGAAAAAGUACACCCAAGGUCCCUCAACUUGUCAUCGGGAUAAAAAACGUCUUCGAACCGCAAAACCAGAUAUGCGAGGUUCCUUAACUAUACAAAACCGGUCACAAUAGGUCCCUUGGCGGUUUUGAUCCCGAUUU